CUACGUUCCCAUCUUCGACCUACCUUAUUUAAAGAGGAUAAAGACUUUUGUGAUAGUUUUGAGAGCAUACUCAACAAAUGCUCACUGGAUUUAAUGCUUUUGACCAUUGAGAAAGCCUAUACAUCUAUUAAUGAUCUCACCAAACAGGUGGAAACGACAGAAAAACAAUUGAGCACCAUAUUACCAUCAGAAGAGUGGGACACGCUCAAAGAAAAGACCACUAGACAGAUCUCAGAAUAUCAGUCACAUACGGAAUCUACUAAAAGGUCCAAGUUUAUAAGGGACGCAGAAGAUUAUAGACUCAACCGGGUCUACAGGUGGAGGGAUCCGAAUUUUCAAGUGCCGUGGAACAAUCGCUAUCCCCAAUUUUCCUCAGGAGCAAGCUCAUCAGGAUCUGACGGCGAGAGAUCACAGCAUCGGGCACAGCCUUUUUUAGGGAGAGGCCAGACACGCCCCAGAUAUGGAAGAAACGACCGCGGAGGAGCCAGAGGAAGAGAUCCGGACAACCGCAUCCAGACCCGCUCACAGAUCCGUUAGUCUUUAUCUUGGUCCAUAAUGAUCUAGCUAUGGAUCCCUUGAUAAAGGUCGACACCGACCGAAACGUUGGGGUUGUACGGCUUAACUUCUUAAAAAAAUACUGCUCACAUAAUU